rnacentral:tRNA from 1 species
CGGGAUAGCUCAGCUGGUAGAGCGACGCAUUCGUAAUGCGUAGGUCGUCGGUUCGAAUCCGAUUCCC